AAGAGAUCGGGAUAACACCUGGAAACAGAUGCUAAUACCGGAUAACAACAGAUGAUGCCUAUCAACUGUUUAAAAGAUGGUUCUGCUAUCACUCUUGGAUGGACCUGCGGUGCAUUAGCUAGUUGGUAGGGUAACGGCCUACCAAGGCGAUGAUGCAUAGCCGAGUUGAGAGACUGAUCGGCCACAUCGGGACUGAGACACGGCCCAAACUCCUACGGGAGGCAGCAGCG
rnacentral:rRNA from 1 species